AUUCGGCGUCACUGGAACUGGUUUGCAGUCUAGUGCAUGCAAUAUGAAGUCAUGACUAGACUGAUAACCAGCUCUAGUUUCGUUC
rnacentral:pre_miRNA from 1 species